GAUGAACGCUGGCGGCGUGCCUAAUACAUGCAAAUCGAGCGAACGGACGAGAAGCUUGCUUUUCUGAUGUUAGCGGCGGACGGGUGAGUAACACGUGGAUAACCUACCUAUAAGACUGGGAUAACUUCGGGAAACCGGAGCUAAUACCGGAUAAUAUUUUGAACCGCAUGGUUCAAAAGUGAAAGACGGUCUUGCUGUCACUUAUAGAUGGAUCCGCGCUGCAUUAGCUAGUUGGUAAGGUAACGGCUUACCAAGGCAACGAUGCAUAGCCGACCUGAGAGGGUGAUCGGCCACACUGGAACUGAGACACGGUCCAGACUCCUACGGGAGGCAGCAGUAGGGAAUCUUCCGCAAUGGGCGAAAGCCUGACGGAGCAACGCCGCGUGAGUGAUGAAGGUCUUCGGAUCGUAAAACUCUGUUAUUAGGGAAGAACGUAUGUGUAAGUAACUGUGCACAUCUUGACGGUACCUAAUCAGGAAGCCACGGCUAACUACGUG
rnacentral:rRNA from 1 species